UUAGAGACUCUGGACCUUUCUUCCAAAAACACGAGCUUAUGAAUAGGACUCUGUGGUGCCUGACGUGUCGUUCAUGGGUCAGCACAGGCGUGGUAGCUGGGCUGCAGGACAGGCUUAGGAGACCCUCCCAGCAUGGAUGGCGGUAGCUCGUGGGCAAUCUUGCCCCUGAACUAACCCAGCUCAGACUUCAAGUGCCAGAUUGAUCUGAAACUCAGUCUCGCCUCAGCUAGCUGCAGAACAGCCUCCAGAGCCUGCCUGGACACAGUCUAGAAGGAAAAGUUCCCUCUGUCCCUGACUGCCUGGCACACCUUAAAAUCAUUUCAUUUUGCUUUCACCUCUCUUUUUCUGAAAGUCAAAACGUUACAUUCAUGUGUUUCAUGGAAAACAGCUAAGGAUAAAAUACAAAAGCCACACUUCUGUUACACAAUUUCCACUUUCAAAGAAACAUAUAUUUUGGAUCACAAGAACAGGAGGAGUGAAAAAUGCUGGAGAGAGAGGUGAAGAGAAAACAUCUAAUCGCAAAUAACAUUACCUAAGUGCAUUUAUCACUAUAAACUUCCCUCUUAGAACUGCUUCUGCUGUAUCCCGCGAGUUUUGGUGCGUUGUAUUUCCAUUGUUCAAGUGAAUGUGUCUCCCACCACGUCCCUUGGUAGACAGUGCUGCUCCCAGACCCCAGCUGAGAGGAGAUGGAACUGCGUCACUGGCUGCUUCACCAUCCACAGCCUGGACUGAGCUGGGUGGGCCUGCUACUGGAAGUACAGGUGGGCAUGGCUCUUCCCACAUCCCUGGCUUGGCAGAUGGUGCCAGUUGCAGGAUCAAGCUCUGCCCACCAUUGAGCAGCCCAGGCAUCAUGGAGCCUCAGUACUCUUCCUUCGGGCCACAUGGCGCACUCCUUGGCUAGACCAUUCGUC